UCCUAAAAGACCCAGUCCCCUUUUCGAUGUCCCCGAUGCCCAACUUUGUCAAAAGACCCAGUCUCUUCUUUUGCAUUGAAAACAAAAGGUCACAAAACCACUCCCCGAGACUCUCUUUUAUGAUGGCCAUUACUUUUCUACCAGUUUUGGUUCUCGAAGCUUCCCUCUCCACUGAACGCUCCCAGACCUCUUCCAUCGGAUUCUAUCGCCCUCGACACUGCUCUGGACAACCAAUUAUCCAGGUAAGUCAUUCCUUGUCUCUUCAAUCCUUCCUUUGCUUUCCUGAUUUAGGGACUUUUUUGAAACGACAAUCUUCGAAACUCUUGCUUACUUCUUUUAUGUCUAAAAUGUAUGCCCUAAGCACUGAUUUGUCCUCCUCGUUAUUUUGAAAUUUUUUGAUGAUACUGAGAGCGUCACCUUCGAUCUCCACUUGUCGGAAUCCUCUUUCUAUUCCCCACUGGAUGGCCUGUAAUAGGCCAGCGCUUCUUCCGUGAAAGGCGUGGCCACUCAAUUAUUCAUCAGCAAUUGAGAUCCCAGAAAAAUCCCCCUUGAGUCCUUACCUACUUUACUCAAACCUGAUUUUGCCUCUAGUUAUCGGAAGCUCCAUCAAAGUUUAUUUUAACUGUGUUCCCUUUCAAUGGUCGCCAUCGCUCCUCCUCGAUCCGUUGGCCAAACCAGAUAGCCCAUAUGCUACAGAAAAGGGUCUUUUUUUGUGAAUUUGUUAGCCUGGACAGUCCCUAAAGACGUGCACUAAAGAUUCUGAGCCAUUCUUGCACUACAAGUAGAGAGCAAAAUUACUUACCGUUUGAAAUGUAGAUUCAAAAGUAGGGAUGUAGUUGUUGUAGACUUUCCAGUUUGUAAUUUUCACUUUCCCAAGCAAAUUUGUUUACCAUAGGCUUUUGUAAAAAAAAAUUCCUGUAAUCUCUGAAGCAUCUGUAAUUAGACUUAGAUCUUUCUUUACUAACCUCCUGUAACUACUUCUCACUUGUAAUCCCCCGUUGGUUCACUGCACAAUGCUCUACAAUCGUCUUACGCCUACCUCACCAAAGGGAUAUUCAGAAUUGUUUCAGCCUCUCCUUCAGCAAACAAAAUGGUAAUAAUCCCUUCCUUCCACUGCCUUAGAUUUGGGACUAUUAGUUAUGCCACUUUGUCAAUACUAUGAUUUUGGACUGGCUCUUGAAUUACCAGGAACCCAAGCAUUAUGCCAUAUCAAAAUACUGUCCCCUCUACCAACCCUCUAGACCAUCUCUUCCAUCAACAAUUUUUUUGCUGCCCACACACUCCUCUAGGUAUUCAAAGGAUCAAGAAACGAAGAAAGCGAAUUUGGAUCGGGGGAAAACGAAAGUAAUUGAAUAGUCGAUCGUGUUCGCUGAUAUCCGAAAUUUUGGAGACGCGUUACGAGCUCGGGGAUCAUCAGCAUAGUCUAUCACACUAUCGACUUCUUUUGGGUAUUUUGUUAAAUAUUUGAACUCGAUCUUAUGGCAUGUAUAGGUCUGAGUACGAUGUUGGUUAGAUUUUGAUUGUAAAUUAUAAUUAGCUAUGUGAAAAAUGAUUAAAUUUUCA